rnacentral:rRNA from 1 species
UACGUAGGGGGCGAGCGUUGUCCGGAAUUACUGGGCGUAAAGGGCGCGUAGGCGGAAUGGCAAGUCGGUCGUGAAAUCCUUCGGCUCAACCGAAGAACGUCGAUCGAAACUGCCGUUCUUGAGGAUUGCAGAGGAGACUGGAAUUCCCGGUGUAGCGGUGAAAUGUGUAGAGAUCGGGAGGAACACCAGUGGCGAAGGCGACUACCUGGCCUGUUCUUGACGCUGAGGCGCGAAAGCUAGGGGAGCAAACGGG